UACAGAGGGUGCAAGCGUUGUUCGGAAUUACUGGGCGUAAAGCGCACGUAGGCGGCUCUUUAAGUCGGGGUGAAAGCCUGUGGCUCAACCACAGAAUUGCCUUCGAUACUGUCGAGCUUGAGACCGGAAGAGGUAAGUGGAACUGCGAGUGUAGAGGUGAAAUUCGUAGAUAUUCGCAAGAACACCAGUGGCGAAGGCGGCUUACUGGUCCGGUUCUGACGCUGAGGCGCGAAAGCGUGGGGAGCAAACAGG
rnacentral:rRNA from 1 species